AACGAACGCUGGCGGCAUGCCUAACACAUGCAAGUCGAACGAGACCUUCGGGUCUAGUGGCGCACGGGUGCGUAACGCGUGGGAACCUGCCCUUAGGUUCGGAAUAACUCCCCGAAAGGGGUGCUAAUACCGGAUAAUGUCUUCGGACCAAAGAUUUAUCGCCUUUGGAUGGGCCCGCGUUGGAUUAGCUAGUUGGUAGGGUAAAAGCCUACCAAGGCGACGAUCCAUAGCUGGUCUGAGAGGAUGAUCAGCCACACUGGGACUGAGACACGGCCCAGACUCCUACGGGAGGCAGCAGUGGGGAAUAUUGGACCAUGGGCGAAAGCCUGAUCCAGCACUGCCGCGUGAGUGAUGAAGGCCUUAGGGUUGUAAAGCUCUUUUACCCGGGAUGAUAAUGACAGUACCGGGAGAAUAAGCUCCGGCUAACUCCGUG
rnacentral:rRNA from 1 species